CAGUCGCCGCGGUAAUACAGAGGGUGCGAGCGUUAAUCGGAUUUACUGGGCGUAAAGCGUGCGUAGGCGGCUAAUUGAGUCGGAUGUGAAAUCCCCGAGCUUAACUUGGGAAUUGCAUUCGAUACUGGUUAGCUAGAGUGUGGGAGAGGAUGGUAGAAUUCCAGGUGUAGCGGUGAAAUGCGUAGAGAUCUGGAGGAAUACCGAUGGCGAAGGCAGCCAUCUGGCCUAAUACUGACGCUGAGGUACGAAAGCAUGGGGAGCAAACAGGAUUAGAUACCCCCGUAGUCCCUGUCUCUUAUAC
rnacentral:rRNA from 1 species